rnacentral:rRNA from 1 species
GACGAACGCUGGCGGCGUGCCUAAUACAUGCAAGUCGAACGAAGCUGUUUUAACUGGUGCUUGCACCGACUUAAACAACUGAGUGGCGAACGGGUGAGUAACACGUGGGUAACCUGCCCCAAAGCGGGGGAUAACAUUUGGAAACAGAUGCUAAUACCGCAUAACCACAGAAACCACAUGGUUUCUGUGUCAAAGAUGGUUUCGGCUAUCACUUUGGGAUGGACCCGCGGCGUAUUAGCUAGUUGGUAAGGUAAUGGCUUACCAAGGCAAUGAUACGUAGCCGAACUGAGAGGUUGAUCGGCCACAUUAGGACUGAGACACGGCCCAAACUCCUACGGGAGGCAGCAGUAGGGAAUCUUCCACAAUGGACGAAAGUCUGAUGGAGCAACGCCGCGUGAGUGAAGAAGGUUUUCGGAUCGUAAAACUCUGUUGUCAGAGAAGAACGUGUGCGAGAGUAACUGCUCGUGCAGUGACGGUAUCUGGCCAGAAAGCCACGGCUAACUACGUGCCAGCCGCCGCAGUAA